GCCGAUGUAGCUCAACUGGCAGAGCAGCUGAAUCGUAAUCAGCAGGUUAGGGGUUCGAAUCCCCUCAUCGGCUCCA
rnacentral:tRNA from 1 species